rnacentral:snRNA from 1 species
AGCUUUGCGCAGUGGCAGUAUUGUAGACAAGGAGGUUUAUCUGAAGCACGAUUAUUGCUAAUUGAAAACUUUUCCCAAUACUCCGUCAUGACGACUUGAAAUACAGUCGGCAUUGGCAAUUUUUGGCAGUCUCUAUGGGGA